CCACAAUUCUGCCUAACAUCUC
rnacentral:piRNA from 1 species